rnacentral:lncRNA from 1 species
AUGUCUGCAAGCCUCAAGACGGCAUUCCCCCCAUCCGUCUUUGGCGUAAUGGGACCCACGGCUACGGAAACACAACUCAGAAGUCAAAAACCUGCAAUUUUCAACCAAACUCAGGAGAUUUCAAGCAUAUCCGAUAAAGAUGCAGCAAAAUUGGCUGCAUUAGAAAGCCCAUGUCUCAAAAUAGUCCAGAAUGAAGCUGCUGACAGACCUCUGGAGGUUCAUGAGAAGGUCGCCUAUGCAGAGCCUUCGUUACCUUUGAAUGAGGAAGAGGGAUCUGCUAAAUCCUUAGAAGAUGAACAAAAAGAAGUGUGGAACAUUGUUGAUCCUGUUGAGUCAGUUGUUUGUCAAAAAGUUGAGUCCAUCUUCAGCAGUGGACCACCUUCAGAUGAUGGAGCUGACCUUCAUGACUUCACAACACCCAGCCUUAUAUCGGGCAAUUUCCAAGAGAAAGAGGAACCUCACCAAGUCACAGAGGAAGAAGAAACAGUUUUAGACUUGGAGAAAGAAGAAGAAGAUGAACAACGGCUCCAGGUCCAAACCGAUGCAGGAGAUACACAGCAAGCUGACAAAGACGUAGAUGAUGUUCAAGGAGAAACAUCCGAUUGUGAAACUGAAGCAAUGCUUGAACCAACCGUUGAGUCCAGACCUAGUAGCGUAGAAUCUGCAGAAUGUGAUGAAAACAUUUCCAACGAGGAAGUAGCAGUGAUGAGAGAAGAACCAAGUACUUCAAUGGAAACAUACACAGAGGAAGCCGAGGAUAAGUUGUAUCCAGAUGGAGAAGAGAUGGACACAUGGGACAGCGUCAUAGAGAGGAAGGUUGAGGUCAAGAUUCAGGACGAUGUGAAAAACGAAGAUCAAAACCAACAUGCUGAGCCAGAAGAAGACAUAUCAGCAAAAGAACCAGAGGAAGAGGUCAGGGAAGCUCAUCAUAACGAAAGCAUGGCUCCUUCAAUGAUGAUCAUGAGAGCAGAAGAUGAACAAGUCACCAUGUUGGACCAAGAGCUUGCUCCACCUGCAGAAAAAGAAGAAGAACACGAUGAAGAGGACUCUCAGAAUGUGUCUGUGUCCUGGAGGACGGAGCUGGAGGGCGACAGCUAUGCUCAAGAAAACACUCUGGCCGACACUCGCCCCCUGAUCCGAUACAAGAGCGACGACACAGAUGCCAACACGCUAGCGUCACACGUCGACGAGAGCGAGUCCAGCGAAGGUGAGCAGGAACGAAAAAUGGAAGAGGCAGGAAUCGGAGCGUGGAGUGAUGGCAAGUCAAAGGCCUUUGGGACCAUGGAGGAUCUGUGUGAGGAAGUGGAAGAGGAAACUAUGGAUGAAGAAUAUAAUCUGGGAUACACCCAUGCUGAAGACAGGGACAUCAGCCAAGGUUCAAUAGUGAGUGAGGACGUUUCACUGUUGAAUGAGGAGAAGCUGAAGAACACUGGAGAGGAACCUUCCGGAAAAGAAACAGAAGAUGUGGAAAGGAGUAAUGUAGACCUUGGAGAGGAACAGGAACUAGAGAUGUGGCCAGCUCAUAUCUUCAGUGCUGAUUUAGUGCAGCAGCAAGUCAGAGAUAAACUCCUAAAAACGGACAAUGAUUCUGUUGAGGUGAACGAGCCAGUGGAGGCUGAAAGAGCGAGUGACUCGUCGUCAAGUGAGCUUGGGAUAAGUUUAAACUGUGAACAUGCUUUAAAGGAAGAUCAAGCUUCAGACAAACAGCUCUUUAGAGAUCCAAAUGCAGACAUGAAUCAAACAAAUAGUGUGGAGGAAGACCAAGUCCAAGUCCAAAACGAAGCUCAGGAAACUUUGAAUGAGUCAAAGAAUGGAGAAGAAGACGAAGACAACAGAUCCAUGGUGCCUCAUGCUGAUGUGGAUCUUUCCAGUCCGACAGAUUUCAAAGAUUUAAUAGAAACCCCAAACCCACAGGAUCCAAACUUUGUGUUCUUGGUACCAGCAGAGGACAAAAGCCAGGAGGAUCUAACAGCCUCCCCUGAAAUCCCAGAGCAAACAUUUAGUAAGUCCCAGGAACACGUCUCUGAGGACUUUCACAUGCUUCCUGAUCCUCCAGAAACAGCUGAUUGGGAAGUCCUGGAAAACCCAAAGCAGCAGUUUGACAUCAGAGACCAGAACCAGGAUGAUGACGAUAUGCUAGAAUCAGCUGAUGAUGAUGUAAUAAACCCAGAAGAGCCUGCUGAAAUGUCCCCUGACGAUGCACCUGAUGAAAACGACAUCUUCAUUGUGAAAGAUGCAACAGGUGAGCUUUUCCCCUCUGAGGUGAAGAAGGAUUUCUGGGUGUCCUCCUUGGAGAGCGGAGCCUCUUAUGAACCAGAGGAUUCUCACAUGGAACCCUCGGAGCAAUCAAACAAAAAUCAAGGAUUUACUGACAACCAGGUUAGUGAGAGUUUGGAAAACUCAGCGGUGGUAAAUGGUAACUCCGAGUUCGAUGCUGAGGCGUCUAAAGCCAAAGCUGCUGUGAAGGAGCAGGAACAAAAGAACGUGUUGUUCUAUUCUGAGGAAUCUGAAGGUGAGGCUGAAUCAUGGUCCUCCGGAGAAGAAGAAGAAUGUAGAGAAGAGCUAGAUCAGUCUUUAGAUGCUGAACACAUCUGUUAG